GACGAACGCUGGCGGCGUGCUUAACACAUGCGAGUCGAACGGAAAGGCCCUGCUUUUGUGGGGUGCUCGAGUGGCGAACGGGUGAGUAACACGUGAGUAACCUGCCCUUGACUUUGGGAUAACUUCAGGAAACUGGGGCUAAUACCGGAUAGGAGCUCCUGCUGCAUGGUGGGGGUUGGAAAGUUUCGGCGGUUGGGGAUGGACUCGCGGCUUAUCAGCUUGUUGGUGGGGUAGUGGCUUACCAAGGCUUUGACGGGUAGCCGGCCUGAGAGGGUGACCGGCCACAUUGGGACUGAGAUACGGCCCAGACUCCUACGGGAGGCAGCAGUGGGGAAUAUUGCACAAUGGGCGGAAGCCUGAUGCAGCAACGCCGCGUGCGGGAUGACGGCCUUCGGGUUGUAAACCGCUUUCGCCUGUGACGAAGCGUGAGUGAUGGUAAUGGGUAAAGAAGCACCGGCUAACUACGUG
rnacentral:rRNA from 1 species